UCGGGAAUUUUGGGCAAUGGGCGAAAGCCUGACCCAGCAACGCCGCGUGAAGGAUGAAGUAUUUCGGUAUGUAAACUUCGUAAGAAUAGGAAGAAUAAAUGACGGUACUAUUUGUAAGGUCCGGCUAACUACGUGCCAGCAGCCGCGGUAAUACGUAGGGACCAAGCGUUGUUCGGAUUUACUGGGCGUAAAGGGCGCGUAGGCGGUUUGUCAAGUCAGUUGUGAAAUCUCCGAGCUUAACUCGGAACGGUCAACUGAUACUGUCAAACUAGAGUACAGAAGGGGCAAUCGGAAUUCUUGGUGUAGCGGUGAAAUGCGUAGAUAUCAAGAGGAACACCUGAGGCGAAGGCGGGUUGCUGGGCUGAUACUGACGCUGAAGCGCGAAGGCUAGGGUAGCAAACGGGAUUAGAUACCCAUGUAGUCCCUGAGCGGGCUGGCAAGGCGCAU
rnacentral:rRNA from 1 species